AUCCUUUUUUGGUCCAUAAGAGUGAUGACUGGGUGGUCACGUGCCUGUGUGACAUGUGUCACCCUCAAAACUUAUUACACAUUGGCAUAUUGCCCAUCUGAUG